GUUAUCUAUAAUAUAUAAAACAUUUAUAUUCACGAAGUCAUUUGAGCUAAAUAUCUCAAAGUGUUAGAGGAUAACUAUUAGUGUAGCAAUACUAAAAAUUAGAUAGAUAUUUAGGGGUGAAAGACUUUUCAAAUUUGACGAUAUCUUGAAGGCAAUUAAAAAUAUGUAGUAUAUAAUCAGAUUAAAAAUAUUAAGGUUUUUAAUAAACAUUAUUUGGUUUAGUGUAAUAAAUUGCCUACAUAAUAGUUACAACUUUAAAAUAUAAAUAACUAGUAAAGCAAAGAAUAUGUUGAACACUUGCUAUGUAGGAUUAAUUACCUAACUACUGUAAAAUGAUAAUAUAAGUAUAUAUACCUAAACUUGAUUAAGGAACUCGGCAAAUUAUUUUUUCGACUGUUUAUCAAAAACAUUGCUUUAUGUAUAUUAUUUAAAGUUUAACCUGCUCCAUGAUUUAUAUUAAAUAGCCGCAGUACAUUGACUGUGCAAAGGUAGCAUAAUCAAUUGGCUUAUAAUUGAAGUCUAGUAUGAAAGGGAUUCCGGAAAAAAGCUAUCUAACAGCAAGCUAUAUAUAAUUUAUUUAGUGCGUGAAAAGCCGCACAUAUAGAAAAAAGACGAGAAGACCCUAGAAAUUUUUUAAAAGUUCAGUAAAUUCUAUUUUGUUGGGGCGACAUAGUAACACUUAACUUACUAUAUUAACAUGCUACUUAUAAGACGUAAGAUAAAAUUACUCUAGGGAUAACAGCAUAAUUUAUUAUUAAGUUUGUGACCUCGAUGUUGGACUAGGAAAUAUUUUAUCUAGAAGAUAAAAUAUCAGGCUCUGUUCGAGCUCUAUUCUCCUACAUGAUCUGAGUUCAGACCGG
rnacentral:rRNA from 1 species